AUGGUGGUUGCAGAAAAGAUAGGACCAACCAGUAGACAAGGGAAGACUGAAGAAGCAAAGCAGCCACAACCAAACCACCCAUGCAGGAUCAAAGUACAAAACAUCUGUAGAGGUUACGAUUCUGGCCACAGAACGAUUUCUUGUUCCUACCCAGGUUGGCUCAGGGAUCUGGACAUAAAGCUGUCUCUCGGUACUGCGCCUGACGUGACCAGUUUGACCUGUUUCAGAAUUGCUAGUACAGGACAUUUUACCAGUGUGAGCGGUGGAUGCAAGGAAUGACAUGGAUGCUCCAGCCAGAGGACAAGGGUGGAAACUGGAGGGGCAGAGCAGCCACCGCUGAACCACUAGGAUCGCGAAACUGUUGGUAACAC
rnacentral:lncRNA from 1 species